rnacentral:lncRNA from 1 species
AUAUUGCUGUACUAGAGUCACGCCGUGUCUCUUCACUGUGCAUGUCACAAGAAGAUAGCUUUAUGGGGUUCAGACAAUCCAGGAUCCCAGCCAAGGAAUGGUGACACCCAUAGUGGGCAAGUCUUCCCGCCUCAAUUAACAUUAUCCAGAUAAUCCCUCCGGCUGGAGAGAUGGCUCAGCGGGUAAGAGCACUGACUGCUCUUCCAGAGGUCCUGAGUUCAAAUCCUCAGCAACCACAUGGUGGCUCACAACCAUCCGUAAUGAGAUCUGACGCCCUCUUCUGGAACGUCUGAAGACAGCUACCGUGUACUUACAUAUAAUAAAGAAAUAAAUCUUUAAAACAAAAAAUAAAGAUAAUCCCUCAUGGGCAUGUCCAAGGUCCAAA